GCGGGAACUCGAACCGGCUGCGUCCGCCUCUCCCGGCGAGGCGCCGGGCAAGGCUCUUUACGCGGUCUCGGAGUCCCCCAGAGGCGCUCCCUGGGCUGAGACACGGAGGCGGAACGGAGGGCGGCCGUCACAGGACUGCGCUGUGUUUCAGUUUGCGAGAGGAAAUGUUCAGGGUCAAAGACAGAGAAGAUUAGAUGAAACCAAGCAAAAAAAGAAUUCCAUUGCUGUUAAACUUCCUUCAGGCACAGGAGCUGGAGCUUCUCGGGGCUGAGUGUGUCGUGGUCCACCGGCAGAGGCCGUGGGAUGAUGAGGCAAGAGCGGCUGCAGCUCGGAGCUGAAGAGCGGAACGGCGAGGCAAGAGCCUGCAAAAGGCCCGGUGGCUUUGAGCCCCAGAGUGGAAGGGCAAGAAGCCACGGGACGACGAGGCAGGAGCGGCAGCAGCGUCGAGCUCAAGAGUGGAACGGCAAGGCAAGAGCGAGCUGGGAGCUGAAGAAGGGGGCAGGAGAGGCCCUCUGGGCAAAGAGCCUUCCUGGCACGGCCAGGGCACCUUCCGGGUGCCGUGGCUGGCUUUGAGUUGGGCGACCUCCCUGGAAGCAGGGCUGGGUCUUUGCUGACGUUGGCCUUUUGCCGUUGCGCUCCUUAGGCUGCCCGGAGAGAGGGGCAACCCUGUAAGGAGGGUGAGAGCCCCUGUCUCUGCACCUGAGGGGGGAAACAGAGCUCUCCUGAUCCCCAGCCCAGCCACCUGCCCUGUCAGUAGGGCCGGGCCUUUUGCCCCGCCCCGACAGCUUUCUGCCAGCUGCUGGCCCCUGGCCAGCGUGACCCCCUGUAUGCGGGGUGCGUCACCGCCCUCGUCUCCGUGCCCUCCCUGAGCGCCUCAGCGCCUCGAGGCCCCUGUGCCCUGCCCACAGGGCUGCAGGGGCAGGUCGGAUGCUUUCCUCUCCCACUCGUGGGUGGGGAUGGCUCCCUAGAGCCGGUUGCCCGCACAGAACUUGCUCCCUCUUCUGGGACGGUCUUGCCCUCCCUCCCUCCCUCGCCGGCCUUCCCCUCAGCUGGUGUGAGUGAGCAAGUGCGUUUGUCCCCCUUUAGCCCCCCUUUAGCAAUAGAGCAGGGUAACCUAGACUUCCCAGGAGGGAAAGAGGAGCUCUGUGCGGUCACAGGGGAGGUCCCUAAACAGGCACGGGUGAAGAACGCGUCCGGCCUUGCCCCUGCCGUCUGAGGAGGGCACGGAGCAGCUUAGCGAUAGCGUGGGCACCGUGACCCGCCUGUAGCCUAUGGCUGGGUGUGUGCCUACGCUGGCGGUCCUGCUGGUGACAUGCCAGCGUGCCGGCCCUGUACUCGGGGCACGUGCCACGACCGUGUGGAGCCCUUUGUCCCCAGCGGCAGCCCCAGGUCCCUGUAAGCAGGGCUGGGGAGUCUGCUUUAGGCAGGUGGCAGGAACGAGCGCUCCCGGGCCCUGGCAAGGGCGCAGGUUGAAGAAGUGCCGCGCCACAGGGUGCGGUCCCGCCUUUGGCGCGGCUUCAGGCCGGUGCCUUGUUGAGGAGGCUCCCGAGGGGCUCCUGCAGACGGCUGUGUGGCCGGGCUGCUGCUGCUGCGGCUGGGCCCUGGCCGACCCCAAAGCGGGGCGCAGGCCAGGGCCUGUGCUCCGUGGUGCUUGUUGGGGGGUGCCGGGCUGCGGGGGACGGCCCCGUAAGUGGGGUUGUGUGCGUCCCCUGCCCUCGGCGGGCGGUUGGAGGGACCCCCUGUAACCAGGUGGGUAUCCCUGGCCCCGGCCUUUCAGAGGCGUGGGGUCAGGAGUCAUGGGGCCGGGCGUGUGCGCCCCCCGGGGCUGGGGUCCCGGCCCCUCGGCUUUAGGCCGUGAGCCUGAACAUAGAGUCUCGUUCCUGUUGUCCCGGGGAAAGGCCGAGCUCUGUGGCUCCCUGGGUGUGGACCGGCCUGUAAGCAGGCUGUGGGUCUGGGAGCCUUUGUGCUCCCUUCAGCUGGCAGCCGGCGGAGAGAAGGAGCCUGCGUAGGCCUUGGGGGCCAGGGCCGCCCUGUAAGUCGGGGCCUGUGCUCUGGAUUCCCGGGCACUUUGCAGUCCAGGCAGCGGCUUGAGCUCCCUGUAAGCAGGGGUGGCAGCCUCUUGGCCGCUGCUUGGCGUAUGCCCAGCUUCAUUUGCCCAGAGGGCCUGGCUCCCCGCACCGCAUGGGACUGCGCCGGACGUCGAGAUGAAGCCACGGGACGACGAGGCAGGAGCGGCAGCAGCGUCGAGCUCAAGAGUGGAACGGCGAGGCAAGAGCGAGCUGGGAGCUGAAGAAGGGGGCAGGAGAGGCCCUCUGGGCAAAGAGCCUUCCUGGCACGGCCAGGGCACCUUCCGGGUGCCGUGGCUGGCUUUGCGUUGGGCGACCUCCCUGGAAGCAGGGCUGGGUCUUUGCUGACGUUGGCCUUUUGCCGUUGCGCUCCUUAGGCUGCCCGGAGAGAGGGGCAACCCUGUAAGGAGGGUGAGAGCCCCUGUCUCUGCACCUGAGGGGGGAAACAGAGCUCUCCCGAUCCCCAGCCCAGCCACCUGCCCUGUCAGUAGGGCCGGGCCUUUUGCCCGGCCCCGACAGCUUUCUGCCAGCUGCUGGCCCCUGGCCAGCGUGACCCCCUGUAUGCGGGGUGCGUCACCGCCCUCGUCUCCGUGCCCUCCCUGAGCGCCUCAGCGCCUCGAGGCCCCUGUGCCCUGCCCACAGGGCUGCAGGGGCAGGUCGGAUGCUUUCCUCUCCCACUCGUGGGUGGGGAUGGCUCCCUAGAGCCGGUUGCCCGCACAGAACUUGCUCCCUCUUCUGGGACGGUCUUGCCCUCCCUCCCUCCCUCGCCGGCCUUCCCCUCAGCUGGUGUGAGUGAGCAAGUGCGUUUGUCCCCCUUUAGCCCCCCUUUAGCAAUAGAGCAGGGUAACCUAGACUUCCCAGGAGGGAAAGAGGAGCUCUGUGCGGUCACAGGGGAGGUCCCUAAACAGGCACGGGUGAAGAACGCGUCCGGCCUUGCCCCUGCCGCCUGAGGAGGGCACGGAGCAGCUUAGCGAUAGCGUGGGCACCGUGACCCGCCUGUAGCCUAUGGCUGGGUGUGUGCCUACGCUGGCGGUCCUGCUGGUGACAUGCCAGCGUGCCGGCCCUGUACUCGGGGCACGUGCCACGACCGUGUGGAGCCCUUUGUCCCCAGCGGCAGCCCCAGGUCCCUGUAAGCAGGGCUGGGGAGUCUGCUUUAGGCAGGUGGCAGGAACGAGCGCUCCCGGGCCCUGGCAAGGGCGCAGGUUGAAGAAGUGCCGCGCCACAGGGUGCGGUCCCGCCUUUGGCGCGGCUUCAGGCCGGUGCCUUGUUGAGGAGGCUCCCGAGGGGCUCCUGCAGACGGCUGUGUGGCCGGGCUGCUGCUGCUGCGGCUGGGCCCUGGCCGACCCCAAAGCGGGGCGCAGGCCAGGGCCUGUGCUCCGUGGUGCUUGUUGGGGGGUGCCGGGCUGCGGGGGACGGCCCCGUAAGUGGGGUUGUGUGCGUCCCCUGCCCUCGGCGGGCGGUUGGAGGGACCCCCUAUAACCAGGUGGGUAUCCCUGGCCCCGGCCUUUCAGAGGCGUGGGGUCAGGAGUCAUGGGGCCGGGCGUGUGCGCCCCCCGGGGCUGGGGUCCCGGCCCCUCGGCUUUAGGCCGUGAGCCUGAACAUAGAGUCUCGUUCCUGUUGUCCCGGGGAAAGGCCGAGCUCUGUGGCUCCCUGGGUGUGGACCGGCCUGUAAGCAGGCUGUGGGUCUGGGAGCCUUUGUGCUCCCUUCAGCUGGCAGCCGGUGGAGAGAAGGAGCCUGCGUAGGCCUUGGGGGCCAGGGCCGCCCUGUAAGUCGGGGCCUGUGCUCUGGAUUCCCGGGCACUUUGCAGUCCAGGCAGCGGCUUGAGCUCCCUGUAAGCAGGGGUGGCAGCCUCUUGGCCGCUGCUUGGCGUAUGCCCAGCUUCAUUUGCCCAGAGGGCCUGGCUCCCCGCACCGCAUGGGACUGCGCCGGACGUCGAGAUGAAGCCACGGGACGACGAGGCAGGAGCGGCAGCAGCAUCGAGCUCAAGAGUGGAACGGCGAGGCAAGAGCGAGCUGGGAGCUGAAGAAGGGGG